UACGUAGGGGGCUAGCGUUGUCCGGAUUUAUUGGGCGUAAAGAGCUCGUAGGCGGUUCGGUAAGUCGGAUGUGAAAUCUCCAGGCUCAACUUGGAGGGGUCAUCCGAUACUGCCGUGACUGGAGUUCGGUAGAGGAGUGUGGAAUUCCUGGUGGAGCGGUGAAAUGCGCAGAGAUCAGGAGGAACACCCGUAGCGAAGGCGGCACUCUGGGCCGAUACUGACGCUGAGGAGCGAAAGCGUGGGGAGCGAACAGG
rnacentral:rRNA from 1 species